rnacentral:lncRNA from 1 species
GCUAGGAAAGAGACAGUCGGUGUGCAGCAAGAGAAAAGAGAGGAGGAAACAUGUGGAAAGACCCAAAGAAUGAAGACACAAGAGCAUGCCUGAAUGCAAUGGGAAGUAGAUCAGUUGACCUUUGCUGAAUAACAAGGUGGACCUAAAACUGGGUGACUUGAAACAAUGAAGAAACAGGCCCAGAGAAACCUGGAGCUCAGGGAGAUUAAG